UACGAAGGGGGCUAGCGUUGUUCGGAUUUACUGGGCGUAAAGCGCGUGUAGGCGGGUCGUUAAGUUGGGGGUGAAAGCCCGGAGCUCAACUCCGGAACUGCCUUCAAAACUGGCGACCUGGAGCAUGUCAGAGGCGAGUGGAAUUGCGAGUGUAGAGGUGAAAUUCGUAGAUAUUCGCAGGAACACCAGUGGCGAAGGAGACUCGCGGGGGCAUUGCUGACGAUGAGACGCGAAAGCGUGGGGAGCAAACAGG
rnacentral:rRNA from 1 species